CAGUCGCCGCGGUAGUACGAAGGGGGCUAGCGUUGCUCGGAAUGACUGGGCGUAAAGGGCGCGUAGGCGGUUUAUACAGUCAGAUGUGAAAUUCCUGGGCUUAACCUGGGGGUUGCACCCAAUACGUGCAGGCCUGAGUGUGGAAGAGGGUCGUGGAAUUCCCAGUGUAGAGGUGAAAUUCGUAGAUAUUGGGAAGAACACCGGUGGCGAAGGCGGCGACCUGGUCCAUUACUGACGCUGAGGCGCGAAAGCGUGGGGAGCAAACAGGAUUAGAUACCCCUGUAGUCCCUGUCUCUUAUAC
rnacentral:rRNA from 1 species